rnacentral:rRNA from 1 species
CGCAUCUGUGCAUGCAGCAUAUCAAUAAGCGGAGGAAAAGAAACUAACAAGGAUUCCCCUAGUAACGGCGAGUGAAGCGGGAAGAGCUCAAAUUUGAAAUCUUAAAGGGUUUCCCUUUACGAAUUGUAGUUUAAAGAAGUGUUUUCUGUUGAGGUUUUGGUAAAAGUUCUUUGGAAUAGGACAUCAUAGAGGGUGAGAAUCCCGUAUUUGACCUUUACUUUCAACUUUGUGAUACACUUUCAAAGAGUCGGAUUGUUUGGGAAUGCAGUCCAAAAUGGGUGGUAAAUUUCAUCCUAAAGCUAAAUAUUGGCGAGAGACCGAUAGCGAACAAGUACCGUGAGGGAAAGAUGAAAAGAACUUUGAAAAGAGAGUUAAGCAGUACGUGAAAUUGUCAAAAGGGAAGCGUUUGACACCAGUGUUGUUUUUCUGAAAAUCAAUUAAAGAACUGUUUAUGCUAAGUUGUUUAGACUUUAUCAGCUAACUGUUUAGUUUUGAGCUUUUCUUUAAUGCACUUUUCAGUUAACAAGUCAACAUCAAUUUCUUUUGCUGUAAAAAAGCUUGAGGAAGGUGGCUUGAGAUUCGUCUUAAGUGUUUAUAGCCUCUUGCCUAUGCAGUCGGAGAGAUUGAGGUCUGCAGCGUAGAUCCUUCGGGGCUAAAUGCAUUUGUGCUAAGUUAUAGCAUUUUAUAGACAACUUGUUGACUAUGAUUUGUCUUGUAGCUUACUCGCUUAUGUUAUUUUACCUACGCUUAGGAUGUUGACAGCAGUAUAGACUGU